GUAUAAGAGACAGCAGUCGCCGCGGGAAUACAGAGGGUGCGAGCGUUAAUCGGAUUUACUGGGCGUAAAGCGUGCGUAGGCGGCUAAUUGAGUCGGAUGUGAAAUCCCCGAGCUUAACUUGGGAAUUGCAUUCGAUACUGGUUAGCUAGAGUGUGGGAGAGGAUGGUAGAAUUCCAGGUGUAGCGGUGAAAUGCGUAGAGAUCUGGAGGAAUACCGAUGGCGAAGGCAGCCAUCUGGCCUAACACUGACGCUGAGGUACGAAAGCAUGGAGAGCAAACAGGAUUAGAUACCCCGGUAGUCCCUGUCUCUUAUAC
rnacentral:rRNA from 1 species